CGAAGACGACUUUGACAACGACGACGACUAAGACGACUUUGACGACGACGAUGAUGACAACAACAACAACAACAAAAACAACAACAACAACAACAACAACAACAACAACAACAACGACAACAACAACAACAACGAUGACGACGUCAACGUCAACAACAACGAUGAUGAUGAGAACAACGAGAACACCGACGACGACAAAAACAAC
rnacentral:lncRNA from 1 species